AGAGUUGAUCAUGGCUCAGGAUGAACGCUAGCUACAGGCUUAACACAUGCAAGUCGAGGGGCAGCAUGGUCUUAGCUUGCUAAGAUUGAUGGCGACCGGCGCACGGGUGAGUAACGCGUAUCCAACCUUCCCUAUAGUAGGGGAUAGCCCGUAGAAAUGCGGAUUAAUACCCUAUGUUGUAUUUCGAGGACAUCUGACGAAUACCAAAGGUUCACCGCUAUAGGAUGGGGAUGCGUCUGAUUAGGUAGUCGGCGGGGUAACGGCCCACCGAGCCAACGAUCAGUAGGGGUUCUGAGAGGAAGGUCCCCCACAUUGGAACUGAGACACGGUCCAAACUCCUACGGGAGGCAGCAGUGAGGAAUAUUGGUCAAUGGGCGAGAGCCUGAACCAGCCAAGUAGCGUGCCAGGAUGACGGCCCUAUGGGUUGUAAACUGCUUUUAUGCGGGGAUAAAGUGAGGGACGUGUCCCUUAUUGUAGGUACCGCAUGAAUAAGGACCGGCUAAUUCCGUGCCAGCAGCGGC
rnacentral:rRNA from 1 species